rnacentral:lncRNA from 1 species
CUCACAUCUGGUGCGCUUCCUGCUUCGUGCUGACUGGGUUCCUUUGAUUGCUUCAUUUGGGCGCAAAAUCAGGAGCAGGCCGCAGACAUCACCCAGGAGACUCCUGUCUCAUCCCACACCAGUGUUCCAGGAGAAAUCAUGAUCAACAGCAGCUUCUGGAAUCUGCCAGUAUUAUCUCAUGAUAUCAUCAGAGAAAGAAAACCCCUGCUAACAACUUUCCUUCAGCAUCUUUGAACUCCCAUGCAAGAUGUUUGCUGUGGCUCAUUGACUGUACGGGAGUCAUGCGAUCACUCCUAGAUACCAGGUGAGUGGGAAAUAACAUUCUUUAGAAAGAACACAGUAACAUU